rfam:Stegodyphus mimosarum contig26199, whole genome shotgun sequence.
GCCUUCGUGGUGUAGUGGUCAGCACGUUCGGCACGUAUUCGAGAUGUCCGAGGUUCGAGUCCCGGUGAGAGCA